AUACGGAGGAUGCAAGCGUUAUCCGGAUUUAUUGGGUUUAAAGGGUGCGUAGGCUGUUCGGAAAGUCAGGGGUGAAGGCCCGGCGCCUAACGCCGGAACUGCCUUUGAUACUUCCGAGCUGGAAUACGGAUGCCGUGGGAGGAAUGAGUAGUGUAGCGGUGAAAUGCAUAGAUAUUACUCAGAACACCGAUUGCGAAGGCAUCUCACGAAUACGUCAAUGACGCUGAGGCACGAAAGCGUAGGGAUCAAACAGGAUUAGAUGCCCUGGUAGUCCACGCAGUAAACGAUGAUGACUAACCGUCGGCGAUACACAGUCGGUGGCCAAGCGAAAGCGAUAAGUCAUCCACCUGGGGAGUACGGUCGCAAGAAUGAAACUCAAAGGAAUUGACGGGG
rnacentral:rRNA from 1 species